rnacentral:rRNA from 1 species
AUGACGUUCACGGGUGAAUCUGUCUACUCCGGCGGCAAGCUCCUCAGCGCGGCCUCCCCCAUCAUCAACGCGGGCGCAGACAGAGGGUACCACUUGCUUGUCGUUGACGGCCACUCGCGCACCAACAAAUUCUUCUGGUCUCUUCCUUUCAUCAUCGGCGGCCAACACUGGCGCAUCUACUAUGACCCCCACGUCGACGGCAGCCUGGUAACACUACAACUUUGCCUCGUCAUCGGCACUAUAGACCUCGUGAAGGCACAUUUCGAGUUCAGUUUCGUUGAAGAGAACGACGAGCAAGAGCGGGCACGUAUCCAUGAUGGUAGUGAGAUAUUCGAGUUCCGAGGCCGGUUCAGCCACCAUACAAAGGUCCUCAAAAAGGAGACCUGGGAGAAAUUCAUCAGAGACGACAGAUUCACCAUUCUAUGCGACGUCAUGGUCCUUGCGCAGGGCGCGACAACAAGGAUUUCUUCCUUCAUCGCGGUGCCACCGUCCGACAUGCAGCAGAACUUUAUGGAUCUUCUCCUGUCCGGCGACGGCACGGACGUCAUCUUCCGGGUGGGUGGCGAGACGUUCACCGCCCACAAGUGCGUUCUCGCGGCCCGCUCUGCCUUCUUCAGGGCGCAGCUCUUCGGCCCAAUGAAAGAAGGCACGGCGUCGACGAACACAAUCCUGCAGAUCGACGACAUGCACGCUGAGGUAUUCAGCAUGAUGCUAAGGUUCAUCUAUGGAGACUCGCUGCCAGCUCCUCCCGUGGAUGAGAACGAGGGCGUUCUUCUACAACACCUGCUUGUCGCGGCGGAUCGGUAUGACCUCAGGCGGCUCAGGGCAAUGUGUGAGGACAAGCUAUGCGACUACAUCGACAUUAGCUCGGUAGCAACCAUCCUGUCGCUCGCCGACCAACACAGCUGCGAUGGGCUACCAUUUCCUCGACUGUCCGGCGAACCUAAGGGCUUUUGUGGAGACCGAAGAGUUUGA